rnacentral:rRNA from 1 species
AGCAAACGCUGGCGGCAGGCCUAACACAUGCAAGUCGAACGAACCUUUCGGGGUUAGUGGCGGACGGGUGAGUAACACGUGGGAACGUGCCUUUAGGUUCGGAAUAACUCAGGGAAACUUGUGCUAAUACCGAAUGUGCCCUUCGGGGGAAAGAUUAAUCGCCUUUAGAGCGGCCCGCGUCUGAUUAGCUAGUUGGUUGAGGUAAUGGCUCACCAAGGCGACGAUCAGUAGCUGGUCUGAGAGGAUGAUCAGCCACAUUGGGACUGAGACACGGCCCAAACUCCUACGGGAAGCAGCAGUGGGGAAUCUUGCGCAAUGGGCGAAAGCCUGACGCAGCCAUGCCGCGUGAAUGAUGAAGGUCUUAGGAUUGUAAAAUUCUUUCACCGGGGACGAUAAUGACGGUACCCGGAGAAGAAGCCCCGGCUAACUUCGUG